rnacentral:rRNA from 1 species
GCACAAUGGGCGCAAGCAUGAUGCAGCAACGCCGCGUGAGGGACGAAGGCCUUCGGGUUGUAAACCUCUUUUAGCAGGGAAGAAGCGAAAGUGACGGUACCUGCAGAAAAAGCGCCGGGUAACUACGUGCCAGCAGCCGCGGUAAUACGUAGGGUGCAAGCGUUGUCCGGAAUUAUUGGGCGUAAAGAGAUCGUAGGCGGUUUGUCGCGUUUGCUGUGAAAAUUCGAGGCUCAACCUCGAACUUGCAGUGGGUACGGGCAGGCUAGAGUGCAGUAGGGGAGAUUGGAAUUCCUGGUGUAGCGGUGGAAUGCGCAGAUAUCAGGAGGAACACCAAUGGCGAAGGCAGAUCUCUGGGCUGUAACUGACGCUGAGGAGCGAAAGCGUGGGGAGCGAACAGGAUUAGAUACCCUGGUAGUCCACGCCGUAAACGGAUGGAUCUUG